rnacentral:rRNA from 1 species
GACGUAGGGUGCGAGCGUUGUCCGGAUUUAUUGGGCGUAAAGAGCUCGUAGGCGGCUCGUCGCGUCGACCGUGAAAACCCGCGGCUUAACUGCGGGCUUGCGGUUGAUACGGGCGGGCUAGAGUUCGGUAGGGGAGACUGGAAUUCCUGGUGUAGCGGUGAAAUGCGCAGAUAUCAGGAGGAACACCGGUGGCGAAGGCGGGUCUCUGGGCCGAUACUGACGCUGAGGUGCGAAAGCGUGGGGAGCAAACAGG